rnacentral:rRNA from 1 species
UUCCAGACUCCUACGGGAGGCAGCAGUGGGGAAUAUUGCACAAUGGGGGAAACCCUGAUGCAGCGACGCCGCGUGAGUGAAGAAGUAUUUCGGUAUGUAAAGCUCUAUCAGCAGGAAAGAAAAUGACGGUACCUGACUAAGAAGCCCCGGCUAACUACGUGCCAGCAGCCGCGGUAAUACGUAGGGGGCAAGCGUUAUCCGGAUUUACUGGGUGUAAAGGGAGCGUAGACGGUGAAGCAAGUCUGAAGUGAAAGGCGGGGGCUCAACCCCCGGACUGCUUUGGAAACUGCUUGACUGGAGUGCAGGAGAGGUAAGUGGAAUUCCUAGUGUAGCGGUGAAAUGCGUAGAUAUCAGGAGGAACACCGGUGGCGAAGGCGGCCUGCUGGACUGCAACUGACGUUGAGGCCCGAAAGCGUGGGGAGCAAACAGGAUUAGAUGCCCUCGUAGU